AACUGGGGGCAGACCAGAGAAGAGAGCAGACCGGCGCCCUGUAGGUCCAGCAGCAGAGAGCUGAGGGCAAGACAGAAUCUCUCCACACGACAACUGCCCAAAGGUGAAAGCCCUAGGACACAGCUGGCCCAAGAAGGUGGGUGGGCCAUACCACUGAAGGAAGAAUUUGCUGCCCAAGAGAGGAAGAGAGCUAUACACACCCAUGCAAAGCUGCCUUGUGGUGAGCAGACACCCUUCACUCCGCCUAAAUGCAGAUGGUGACUGUGGGACCAUUGCGGGGGGCAGGCAGGAUGUGGCCCAGGGAGGGCAGCCAUAAGCAGCCCAAGAUGUCAGAUCACUCAUAGCCCUCAAAGAGUCCUGGGUUGGAGCCCAGUGGUGUGGGAGGGCCUGGACUCCCUUACCAACAACCCCUCUGCAAGUCAUGAGCCUACGCCCUGACCACUAGGCAAUGCUACCCUACUGACCAACCCCUGAGAGAGGACCGUCACAGGAUGUCUUAUCUGAUUAUUUUCCCACACAGAGAAACUUCAUUCUUCAAACUGUCAGCACCAUCUGCCUUUGUAGUCAUAUCCUGACUGACUCAGUUUGCAACUACAUGCCGCAAGAAGGAAAACCAUACUGCUUGAAUAUAAUGUCCAGCAAACCAAUUUUUACCUAGGGAAGUAAUUUAAGAAUAGAGUCAUAUUAAGUAGGAGCAAUUCACUUCCAUAGGGUGUCCUGAACCAGUUAAAACAACUGACGACAACAUAUGGUGCCCAACCUAAAUCCUAAACCCGAACACCUCAGACUUUGGGGAAGUUCAGAUCGUGAUCCAAAUUUUGCAUCUCAGGCCCAUCCAUCACUCAAGAACAGGCCAAGGUCUUCUGGCCCCAUCUGGUUAAUUUAUCUUAGUAACAUGUACUGAAUUUUUCAUGGAUUACUUGGGUUAUGAGGAUUAUCCAUAUUAUUUCUG